rnacentral:rRNA from 1 species
CCUACGGGGGGCAGCAGUGGGGAAUAUUGCACAAUGGGCGCAAGCCUGAUGCAGCGACGCCGCGUGCGGGAUGGAGGCCUUCGGGUUGUAAACCGCUUUUGUUCAAGGGCAAGGCACGGUCUUUGGCCGUGUUGAGUGGAUUGUUCGAAUAAGCACCGGCUAACUACGUGCCAGCAGCCGCGGUAAUACGUAGGGUGCAAGCGUUAUCCGGAUUUAUUGGGCGUAAAGCGAGCGCAGGCGGUUGCUUAGGUCUGAU